AAGUAUGCUUAACGCUUUACCUGUCCAACAGGUGGCAACAAACAGCCAUGAUGAGGAGAAAAAGGGUCUCUUCCCGAGCAGGAAGCAGAGUGAUAGUUGUCCGAUUGGGUGACUUCACUCAUUGAUGAGUGUACCCUUCCUUCGGGAGAGUGGGAAGAGACCCGUUCUGAGUGGU
rnacentral:snoRNA from 1 species